rnacentral:rRNA from 1 species
GACGAACGCUGGCGGCGUGCUUAACACAUGCAAGUCGAACGGUAUGGCCCUUCGGGGUACACGAGUGGCGAACGGGUGAGUAACACGUGGGUGAUCUGCCCUGCACUUCGGGAUAAGCCUGGGAAACUGGGUCUAAUACCGGAUAGGCCCACUUCCUGCAUGGGUGGUGGGGGAAAGCUGUUGCGGUGUGGGAUGGGCCCGCGGCCUAUCAGCUUGUUGGUGGGGUGAUGGUCUACCAAGGCGACGACGGGUAGCCGGCCUGAGAGGGUGACCGGCCACACUGGGACUGAGAUACGGCCCAGACUCCUACGGGAGGCAGCAGUGGGGAAUAUUGCACAAUGGGCGCAAGCCUGAUGCAGCGACGCCGCGUGAGGGAUGACGGCCUUCGGGUUGUAAACCUCUUUCAGCACCGACGAAGCGCAAGUGACGGUAGGUGCAGAGGAAGGACCGGCCAACUACGUGCCAGCAGCCGCGGUAA